rnacentral:rRNA from 1 species
CGGGCCUAACACAUGCAAGUCGAACGAGAAAGCGGAGCAAUCCCCGAGUAGAGUGGCGGACGGGUGAGUAACACGUGGGUAAUCUACCCAGUGGUGGGGAAUAACCCUGGGAAACCGGGACUAAUACCGUAUAAGCCCUCGAGAGAGGAAAGCGGCAAGUCGGGGAAGGAAGAGCCCGCGGCCGAUUAGCUUGUUGGUGAGGUAAAGGCCCACCAAGGCAACGAUCGGUAGCCGGCCUGAGAGGGCAAACGGCCACACUGGCACUGAAACACGGCCCAGACUCCUACGGGAGGCAGCAGUGGGGAAUAUUGCACAAUGGGCGAAAGCCUGAUGCAGCCAUGCCGCGUGAGUGAUGAAGGCCUUCGGGUUGUAAAGCUCUUUCGAACGGGAAGAUAAUGACGGUAGCGGGAGAAGAAGCUGCGGCUAACUACGUGCCAGCAGCCGCGGUAAUACGUAGGCAGCGAGCGUUGUUCGGAAUUACUGGGCGUAAAGGGUGUGUA